rnacentral:rRNA from 1 species
AUGAAGGUCGCUUCCUUCCCAACUAAGUACUUGGGCCUUCCCCUGCAUACCUCAAGGCUCAAGCGGGUUCAUCUGCAACCUCUCAUAGACAAAGCAAUGGGCAAGCUUCCGGGGUGGAAGGGAAAGAACCUUGCGAGGCCGGGAAGAGUCUCCUUGGCAAAGUCAGUCCUAUGCGCCAUGGCCACACAUCAUCUCACUGCGCUCCCUCUUCCGGCGUGGGCCAACCAUAAGCUUAGCAAGAUCUCUCGCAACUUCAUAUGGCUAGGCAACAAUUCCGAGAAUGCGACUGGAGGGCACUCCCUGGUAAACUGGAAGACGAUGUGCAGGCCGAAGGCCCUAGGUGGGCUGGGAAUCACAGACCUAGAGAGGUUUGGUCGGGCUCUCCGCUUGCGCUGGCCAUGGCUAAUGUGGAUCGACCCUGACUGUCAGUGGGUGGGCUCUGCCCUACCCUGCGACGACUCAGAUAUGGCGCUAUUCAGAGCUUCCACCUCCAUCGUGUUGGGUAACGACCACAAAGCUUUGUUCUGGCAUGAUGACUGGACCGGAAAGGGUCCCCUUAGUAUGCUGGCUCCCGGAUUAUACAAAAUCACCACAAGAAAGCAGAGAACAAUGUCCAAGGAGUUGCACGAUGAUAACUGGAUCAGAUCGGUCGCCCGCCUUCAGCCCCCCAUACACCUGUAG